UCUCCGUAGGUGAACCUGCGGAGGGAUCAUUACAGAGUUCAUGCCCUACCGGGUAGAUCUCCCACCCUAUGUUAUUAUUACUUUGUUGCUUCGGCGGGCCGUUAGGCUCCGGCCCGACUACCGGCCCCGGCUGGUAAGCGCCCGCCAGAGGACCCAAAACCCUGAAUAUUAGUGUCGUCUGAGUACUAUAUAAUAGUUAAAACUUUCAACAACGGAUCUCUUGGUUCUG
rnacentral:misc_RNA from 1 species